GAGGGUAUAGCUCAAGUGGUAGAGUGCAUGUUUAGCAUGCAUGAGGUCGUGGGUUCAAUCCCCAGUACCUCCU
rnacentral:tRNA from 1 species